CUCAGAACUUAAGGAAUUGACGGGGCCGCACAAGCGGUGGAGUAUGUGGUUUAAUUCGAUGCAACGCGAAGAACCUUACCUGGUCUUGACAUCCCGGAGACCCUUAGGAAACUAGGGGGUGCUUCCAUCUGGAAGAAUCUGGAGACAGGUGCUGCAUGGCUGUCGUCAGCUCGUGUCGUGAGAUGUUGGGUUAAGUCCCGCAACGAGCGCAACCCUUGCCUUUAGUUGCCAGCAGUUCGGCUGGGCACUCUAAAGGGACUGCCGGUGUUAAACCGGAGGAAGGUGGGGAUGACGUCAAGUCCUCAUGGCCUUUAUGACCAGGGCUACACACGUACUACAAUGGCCGAUACAAAGGGCAGCGACACUGCGAGGUGAAGCCAAUCCCGUAAAAUCGGUCUCAGUCCGGAUUGGAGUCUGCAACUCGACUCCAUGAAGUUGGAAUCGCUAGUAAUCGUGGAUCAGCAUGCCACGGUGAAUACGUUCCCGGGCCUU
rnacentral:rRNA from 1 species